UACAGAGGUGGCAAGCGUUGUUCGGAAUUACUGGGCGUAAAGGGCGCGUAGGCGGCUCGACAAGUCCCGCGUGAAAGCCCCCGGCUCAACUGGGGAACUGCGCGGGAAACUGUCGGACUUGAGUUCGGGAGAGGGAAGCGGAAUUCCGGGUGUAGCGGUGAAAUGCGCAGAUAUCAGGAGGAACACCAGCGGCGAAGGCGGCGCUCUGGGCCGGAACUGACGCUGAGGAGCGAAAGCGUGGGUAGCAAACAGG
rnacentral:rRNA from 1 species